GUUCGGAAGAGAAGCUCUACCUCAAGCAUCAAGAUGAAGGCUGCUGUUGUUCUUGCUGUUCUUGCUGCGGUGCUGUGUGCCAGCACUGUCAACUGUGACUGCUUGUGUCCCCGUAUCAUUGACCCCGUCUGUGACACCGCCGGCAACUACUACGACAAUGCGUGCCUCUUGAACUGUGUUGAGGGUGCCGUCCAGGCCGCAGAGGGCGCCUACACCUUCAGUGGUAGCACCUGUGUUGCUGCCAGGAAGUAGAUGACCUUCACCUUCAACCACUUGGAACGACUGCGACUAUAGGAGCGCUUAGUGUUACAAUAAAAUUUAGAAUUCUUCCAUCCAG